AAUACUCCUGACUGACCGAUAGUGAACCAGUACCGUGAGGGAAAGGCGAAAAGAACCCCGGCGAGGGGAGUGAAAAAGAACCUGAAACCGUGUACGUACAAGCAGUGGGAGCCUCUUUUAUGGGGUGACUGCGUACCUUUUGUAUAAUGGGUCAGCGACUUAUAUUCUGUAGCAAGGUUAACCGAAUAGGGGAGCCGAAGGGAAACCGAGUCUUAACUGGGCGUUAAGUUGCAGGGUAUAGACCCGAAACCCGGUGAUCUAGCCAUGGGCAGGUUGAAGGUUGGGUAACACUAACUGGAGGACCGAACCGACUAAUGUUGAAAAAUUAGCGGAUGACUUGUGGCUGGGGGUGAAAGGCCAAUCAAACCGGGAGAUAGCUGGUUCUCCCCGAAAGCUAUUUAGGUAGCGCCUCGUGAAUUCAUCUCCGGGGGUAGAGCACUGUUUCGGCAAGGGGGUCAUCCCGACUUACCAACCCGAUGCAAACUGCGAAUACCGGAGAAUGUUAUCACGGGAGACACACGGCGGGUGCUAACGUCCGUCGUGAAGAGGGAAACAACCCAGACCGCCAGCUAAGGUCCCAAAGUCAUGGUUAAGUGGGAAACGAUGUGGGAAGGCCCAGACAGCCAGGAUGUUGGCUUAGAAGCAGCCAUCAUUUAAAGAAAGCGUAAUAGCUCACUGGUCGAGUCGGCCUGCGCGGAAGAUGUAACGGGGCUAAACCAUGCACCGAAGCUGCGGCAGCGACACUGUGUGUUGUUGGGUAGGGGAGCGUUCUGUAAGCCUGUGAAGGUGUACUGUGAGGUAUGCUGGAGGUAUCAGAAGUGCGAAUGCUGACAUAAGUAACGAUAAAGCGGGUGAAAAGCCCGCUCGCCGGAAGACCAAGGGUUCCUGUCCAACGUUAAUCGGGGCAGGGUGAGUCGACCCCUAAGGCGAGGCCGAAAGGCGUAGUCGAUGGGAAACAGGUUAAUAUUCCUGUACUUGGUGUUACUGCGAAGGGGGGACGGAGAAGGCUAUGUUGGCCGGGCGACGGUUGUCCCGGUUUAAGCGUGUAGGCUGGUUUUCCAGGCAAAUCCGGAAAAUCAAGGCUGAGGCGUGAUGACGAGGCACUACGGUGCUGAAGCAACAAAUGCCCUGCUUCCAGGAAAAGCCUCUAAGCAUCAGGUAACAUCAAAUCGUACCCCAAACCGACACAGGUGGUCAGGUAGAGAAUACCAAGGCGCUUGAGAGAACUCGGGUGAAGGAACUAGGCAAAAUGGUGCCGUAACUUCGGGAGAAGGCACGCUGAUAUGUAGGUGAAGUCCCUCGCGGAUGGAGCUGAAAUCAGUCGAAGAUACCAGCUGGCUGCAACUGUUUAUUAAAAACACAGCACUGUGCAAACACGAAAGUGGACGUAUACGGUGUGACGCCUGCCCGGUGCCGGAAGGUUAAUUGAUGGGGUCAGCGCAAGCGAAGCUCUUGAUCGAAGCCCCGGUAAACGGCGGCCGUAACUAUAACGGUCCUAAGGUAGCGAAAUUCCUUGUCGGGUAAGUUCCGACCUGCACGAAUGGCGUAAUGAUGGCCAGGCUGUCUCCACCCGAGACUCAGUGAAAUUGAACUCGCUGUGAAGAUGCAGUGUACCCGCGGCAAGACGGAAAGACCCCGUGAACCUUUACUAUAGCUUGACACUGAACAUUGAGCCUUGAUGUGUAGGAUAGGUGGGAGGCUUUGAAGUGUGGACGCCAGUCUGCAUGGAGCCGACCUUGAAAUACCACCCUUUAAUGUUUGAUGUUCUAACGUGGACCCGUGAUCCGGGUUGCGGACAGUGUCUGGUGGGUAGUUUGACUGGGGCGGUCUCCUCCUAAAGAGUAACGGAGGAGCACGAAGGUUGGCUAAUCCUGGUCGGACAUCAGGAGGUUAGUGCAAUGGCAUAAGCCAGCUUGACUGCGAGCGUGACGGCGCGAGCAGGUGCGAAAGCAGGUCAUAGUGAUCCGGUGGUUCUGAAUGGAAGGGCCAUCGCUCAACGGAUAAAAGGUACUCCGGGGAUAACAGGCUGAUACCGCCCAAGAGUUCAUAUCGACGGCGGUGUUUGGCACCUCGAUGUCGGCUCAUCACAUCCUGGGGCUGAAGUAGGUCCCAAGGGUAUGGCUGUUCGCCAUUUAAAGUGGUACGCGAGCUGGGUUUAGAACGUCGUGAGACAGUUCGGUCCCUAUCUGCCGUGGGCGCUGGAGAACUGAGGGGGGCUGCUCCUAGUACGAGAGGACCGGAGUGGACGCAUCACUGGUGUUCGGGUUGUCAUGCCAAUGGCACUGCCCGGUAGCUAAAUGCGGAAGAGAUAAGUGCUGAAAGCAUCUAAGCACGAAACUUGCCCCGAGAUGAGUUCUCCCUGAGACUAUAAGUCUCCUGAAGGAACGUUGAAGACGACGACGUUGAUAGGCCGGGUGUGUAAGCGCAGCGAUGCGUUGAGCUAACCGGUACUAAUGAACCGUGAGGCUUAACCUU
rnacentral:rRNA from 1 species